rnacentral:piRNA from 1 species
UUAUAAAUCCCUGUCAUUCUC